AACGAACGCUGGCGGCAGGCUUAACACAUGCAAGUCGAGCGCCCCGCAAGGGGAGCGGCAGACGGGUGAGUAACGCGUGGGAAUCUACCGUACCCUACGGAAUAGCUCCGGGAAACUGGAAUUAAUACCGUAUACGCCCUACGGGGGAAAGAUUUAUCGGGGUAUGAUGAGCCCGCGUUGGAUUAGCUAGUUGGUGGGGUAAAGGCCUACCAAGGCAACGAUCCAUAGCUGGUCUGAGAGGAUGAUCAGCCACAUUGGGACUGAGACACGGCCCAAACUCCUACGGGAGGCAGCAGUGGGGAAUAUUGGACAAUGGGCGCAAGCCUGAUCCAGCCAUGCCGCGUGAGUGAUGAAGGUCUUAGGAUUGUAAAGCUCUUUCACCGAUGAAGAUAAUGACGGUAGUCGGAGAAGAAGCCCCGGCUAACUUCGUGCCAGCAGCCGCCGUAA
rnacentral:rRNA from 1 species